rnacentral:rRNA from 1 species
GAGUUUGAUCCUGGCUCAGAUUGAACGCUGGCGGCAUGCCUUACACAUGCAAGUCGAACGGUAACAGGUCUUCGGAUUGCUGACGAGUGGCGAACGGGUGAGUAAUACAUCGGAACGUGCCCGAUCGUGGGGGAUAACGGAGCGAAAGCUUUGCUAAUACCGCAUACGAUCUACGGAUGAAAGCAGGGGACCGCAAGGCCUUGCGUCGGACGGAGCGGCCGAUGGCAGAUUAGGUAGUUGGUGGGAUAAAAGCUUACCAAGCCGACGAUCUGUAGCUGGUCUGAGAGGACGACCAGCCACACUGGGACUGAGACACGGCCCAGACUCCUACGGGAGGCAGCAGUGGGGAAUUUGGACAAUGGGCGAAAGGCCUGAUCCAGCCAUGCCGCGUGCAGGAUGAAGGCCUCGG